UAUAAUUUUAUUACAUAUACGUAUCAAAUCAACUCUGUACGACGUAUUUCCAGUUAUAACUAGCAAAGUACUGGUAGAAAGAGGACCGUGAAUAUGAACAGCAAAUUGAUUCAAGUAUUUUUCACGUUUAUGUUGUUUCUACAUAUACACCACAGCGUGGAUGGUGUUAGAUGUCCACCUUAUUCUAUGUUCGAUGCAACUGCAGAAAAGUGUGUGUGUCAAGAAGGAUAUCAUUGGGUCGAUGCAACUCAAACAUGUGAUCCGAACGAUAUUUCAUGUUGUAAUCCAGACAUAAGCCUUAAACCUGGUAAA